UGGGGGAUAUUGCACAAUGGAGGAAACUCUGAUGCAGCAACGCCGCGUGAAGGAAGAAGGCCUUCGGGUUGUAAACUUCUGUCCUCAGUGACGAAGUUCUGACGGUAACUGAGGAGGAAGCCACGGCUAACUACGUGCCAGCAGCCGCGGUAAUACGUAGGUGGCAAGCGUUAUCCGGAAUUACUGGGUGUAAAGGGUGCGUAGGCGGCUUGUAAAGUCAGAUGUGAAAUACCGGGGCUUAACCCCGGAGCUGCAUUUGAAACUUACAGGCUUGAGUGAAGUAGAGGUAAGCGGAAUUCCUAGUGUAGCGGUGAAAUGCGUAGAUAUUAGGAGGAACACCAGUGGCGAAGGCGGCUUACUGGGCUUUAACUGACGCUGAGGCACGAAAGCAUGGGUAGCAAACAGG
rnacentral:rRNA from 2 species